UAACGAAUAUUGGGCAAUGGGCGAAAGCCUGACCCAGCAAUGCCGCGUGCAGGACGAAGUCCUUCGGGAUGUAAACUGCUGUCAGGGGUCCGCAAGCGAAGGGGUCCAACAGGCACUGGAGUUGAGCAGCCCCAGAGGAAGCCUCGACUAACUCUGUGCCAGCAGUCGCGGUAAGACAGAGGAGGCAAGCGUUGUUCGGAAUCAAUGGGCUUAAAGCGCGUGUAGGCGGCUUAGAAAGUGUCGUGUGAAAUCCCGCGGCUCAACCGCGGAACUGCACGGCAAACUACUUGGCUUUAGGUCGGUAGAGGUGCCUGGAACUCUAGGUGGAGCGGUGAAAUGCGUAGAUAUCUAGAGGAACGCCAGAAGCGAAAGCGGGGCACUGGGCCUAUUCUGACGCUGAGACGCGAAAGCGUGGGGAGCAUACAGGGUUAGUUGCCCGGGUAGUC
rnacentral:rRNA from 1 species